UAUCGUCUCAUUGCCUUAUCUCCCUUUGCAGGUCUUACUUGUAUUUGAUGUGGUUAUAAAGAAUAAGACAUGGAAUUACUAAUUCGAGGUUCACUUCUGGUUAUAAAGAAUAGGACAUGGAAUUACUAAUUCGAGGUCCUGAAGUGCAAAAUCACUUCAGAUGCCCUGAAUCCUCCAGCUUGUCACCAGGUGGAAUGGAAAAAAUAACUUGAAGAGAUCUACUUAAAGUCAAUAGUUGUUUAAUAUUGUAAAUUGGUCUUCAUUUUGUAUAAAAAUCAUCAAUUAAUAUUAAUUUGCAUUUUACCCAGAGUAGUUGAGGGGUCCAUAUUGGAGAUCUGAUGUGGACUGCUAACCUGAAUUGCGCAUUGAAUAUUGAGCUUGCUCUGGGUGCUGGAGUUUAUUUAGAAUUGCCAACAUUUCUGAUAAUCUUGCAUUGUUUCUGAAGUUUGUAAUGUGAGAAUAACAGCUGUGCUGUGAUGUAUUGAUGAGGAAAUCAUUAUGAGAUCUUGAGCACGCAAGUUUAAACUUA